rnacentral:rRNA from 1 species
UACGUAGGGUGCGAGCGUUGUCCGGAAUUAUUGGGCGUAAAGAGCUCGUAGGCGGUGUGUCACGUCGGCCGUGAAAACCUGCAGCUUAACUGUGGGCGUGCGGUCGAUACGGGCAUCACUGGAGUUCGGCAGGGGAGACUGGAAUUCCUGGUGUAGCGGUGAAAUGCGCAGAUAUCAGGAGGAACACCGGUGGCGAAGGCGGGUCUCUGGGCCGAUACUGACGCUGAGGAGCGAAAGCUAGGGGAGCAAAUGGG